AACUCCUUUAAGUUAGGGGGAUAGCCCAGAGAAAUUUGGAUUAAUACCCCGUAACAUUGUUGAGUGGCAUCAUUUAGCAAUUAUAGAUUUAUCGCUUAGAGAUGGCUGUGCGGCUGAUUAGGUAGUUGGUGAGGGUAAUGGCCCACCAAGCCUUCGAUCAGUAACUGGUGUGAGAGCACGACCAGUCACACGGGCACUGAGACACGGGCCCG
rnacentral:rRNA from 1 species